CUGACCGUGCNAAGGUAGCAUAAUCACUUGCCUAUUAAUUGUAGGCUAGAAUGAAGGGGCAAACGAAAUUAUUACUGUCUCUAAUAGGCUUAUAAAAAUUAAUCUAGGAAGCGAAGAAGCUCCUAUAACCUCGCAGGACAAGAAGACCCUAUAGAGCUUUAUUAAACCUCUUUAAAUAAAAGAUAUUAAUUCGGUUGGGGCGACCUAGGAUAACUUAAAACAACCUAAAAUAAAUCGAUAUACAUAUCUAAUUCUAGACCCGCAUACGCGAUCAACGGAACAAGCUACCUUAGGGAUAACAGGCUAAUUAUCUUUAAGAGCUCAUAUCUACAAGAUAGAUUGGCACCUCGAUGUUGGC
rnacentral:rRNA from 1 species